UGGGGAAUAUUGCACAAUGGGCGCAAGCCUGAUGCAGCCAUGCCGCGUGUAUGAAGAAGGCCUUCGGGUUGUAAAGUACUUUCAGUCGGGAGGAAGGUGUCAAGGUUAAUAACCUUGGCAAUUGACGUUACCGACAGAAGAAGCACCGGCUAACUCCGUGCCAGCAGCCGCGGUAAUACGGAGGGUGCAAGCGUUAAUCGGAAUUACUGGGCGUAAAGCGCACGCAGGCGGUUGAUUGAGUCAGAUGUGAAAUCCCCGGGCUCAACCUGGGAACUGCAUCUGAUACUGGCAAGCUUGAGUCUCGUAGAGGGGGGUAGAAUUCCAGGUGUAGCGGUGAAAUGCGUAGAGAUCUGGAGGAAUACCGGUGGCGAAGGCGGCCCCCUGGACGAAGACUGACGCUCAGGUGCGAAAGCGUGGGGAGCAAACAGG
rnacentral:rRNA from 1 species